AAAAUUACAUUAAUUAAUUUAAAAAUUACAAAAACAGUCCCUAAAAUUCUAAAAAAUUUCAGGGAAGGACUUCUGCAGCCGGAACAGUGUUCGUCAUGGUUUCUGGGCUCGGGAACAGUGGGGGCGCGUGGAUCUCACACGCCACCACCACUGGCGGCGCGUGGGUCCACGCGCCGCCACAGAAAAUAAAACAGCAACAGGGGGUCUGGAUCGCCUUCUUCCCCUCUUCCUUCGUCGCCGGCGAUAACCUGCAAAGCAAACCCCCAACACAACAAGCAGUUGAUUUUAUUUUUUUGUCUUAGAUCUGCUUUUAAUUUUUUUGUUUUCUCCGAUCUGUUCCUUCUCCUUCUCUUCUUCUCGGCUUCGGAUCUGCUCCUUCUACAGAUCGGUUCUGUUAUGGGUUUCUUCUUCUUCUCCGGUGGCAGAUCGGUCGUGGAGGAGCAGCUGUCCGUGGUCGCUGGGUUUCGUCUUCUUCUCCUCUGCUUCGGGUGGCAGAUCGGGCGGUGGCUCCGUGGCUGCUGAAGCUGUGGUUCUGUGGCCGGUUGAAGGCAGUGGAACGGGCGAAAGUGUUACCCCGGCGCUGCUGUUCUUCCGCCGCUGAAGAAGGAAACCGAAGGGGAAACCGCCGUGGCUGAGGAGGGUGAGGGGGAGUGAGCGGCUGUGCAAGGGCUGAGAUGGAGGGAAAUUGGGGAAGAAAAGUCUUGACCGGCGGCUGUUUGGCAGGUUUAAAGGAGAAGAGAAAAAAAUCAAAAGGUGGGGGCUGUUUGGCCGGCGGCUGGUCUGUAAGGAGGAAAAUGAGCAGCCGAGAGAGGGUGUGCAGUGGUGGCUGAGCAAAGGGCUCAAGCUGGCCAGGGAGAAGAAGAGAAAAAAAAGUGUGCGGCUGUUUGGGGGGG
rnacentral:lncRNA from 1 species